GGAAUUCCUGCCCAGCAGCAGGAGCAGAGCCGGGUUCCUCCCGGCCUGCGGCCCCCCGAAAACUCCGGCCCUGCGACGCCGGGCUGGGCCCCACCUGUGGAUUCGCGCCGGCUUCUGCCUCCUCCCCGGCCCCUCGAGCCGCAUCCAUGCGCCUGGUGCUACCUGGGUGCCUACUGUGUGCCAGACCCCAGCCAGAAACUGGGGGAACCGGUGAGCAUCGCGACCCCCGCUCGGCUUGCAUUGUGCUGGGCCAGACAGACGUUCAUCAAAUUAUCACACAGCAUUAAUGUAUAAUUAGGGAGUCUCAGUGGGGGACUGAGGAGCCCUGGUGGCACAAUGGUUAAGUGCUGGGCUGCUAACCGAAAACCGGGCGGUUUGAACCCACCAGCUGCUCCGCAAGAGUAAGACCUGGCAAUCAGCUCCUGUAAAGAUGACAGCCUAGGAAACCCCAUGGGGCUGUUCUGCUCUGUCCUAUAGGGUCGCUGUAAGUCGGAAUCAACUUGAUGGCACCUAACAACACCAACAAUGGGAGACCAGCCUCGGCCUGCAGAUCGGGGAAGGUGUCUCUGAGGACCUGAAGGACAUAACCUGGUGAAGGGGUCUAGGCGGGAGGGGUGGAGUGAAGAGGGCAUCCCAGGUCAAGAGAUCUUGAGUGAGAGACCUCAGAGACGUGUACAAGAAUAUCCACACCAGUCCGUAAUAACCAACACCCCAAGGCCCGCCCACAGGUGGAUGGACAAAUAAAGUGGUCUGUUCACACUGUGGAGCUCUGGCGGCACAGUCGUUAAGCAUUUGGCUGCUAACCAAAAGGUUGACAGUUUGAAUCCACUAGCCUCUCUUUGGAAACCCUAUGGGGCGGUUCUACUCUGUCCUAUCGGGUGAUAAUGAGUUGAGAAUCAAUUGGACGCCAAUGGGUUUGGUUUUUUUUUUUUAAUUCAUACUGUGGAAUAUUACACAGCAGUGAAAUUGAAUGAACUUCAGCUACACACAACAGGGAUGCAUCUCAGAAGAAGCGCUGAGUGAAAAAUUAAGUUUCAGAAAACUGCAUGCUCUGUGGGACAAUUUUUAGAAUAUCUAAAAGCAAAACCAAAUAGCAUGCAUGCUUAGACCCAUGCAUUAGUGAAAAAAAAAUUUUUUUUAAGCAAGGGAAAGAUAAACACAAAUAUGGGACUGGUUAUUUCAGGAGUAGGUGGGGAGUGGAGGGGAGGGGGAGGAAAAUAGAGAUACUUUCAAGUCAUUGGUCAUGUGCCAGUACUUGGGUGAGCGGGAGGAUUUCCUGGGUGUUUACUACAGUAUAAAUAAACACCAAUAAACAAGGGAGAAAGAGAAAGUGGGAAGAGUGGAGGGCCAGGGGCUGGGAAGUGGAUCACGUAGGGCCUGUGGGACACCGUUAGAGUUUGUUUUUUCCCUGAGGGCUCUGGACAAUCAGUGGAGGGUUUCAGGUAGAGGCAAGUAGAGGUCAGACUUGUAUCUGGAAAAAAAAUACCCUCCAGCUACUGAAAGCAUGAACUGGUAACUAAGGACAGCAACGUUAUCUGGGAGUUGACUGGAAAUGCAGAGGCUCAGGCCUCGCCCCAGACCUAGGGAACCAAAUUCUGUAUUUUGAGAUCUCCAGGUGGCUUGUGUGCACAUUGCAGUUUGAGAAUGGCCGGUCUCUGUUGUGAGGACAAGAGGAGGGCCUUGCAAAGGGGCCAGAGGGAGCACGGGAGACCAGGAAGCAGGUAACUGCAGCAGUCCUGGGAGGAGUUGGUGGGGGUAGUAGGGACGUGGGGAGAAUCAAACCGAUUCAAGCUAAUUUAGGGGGCACAAUCAGCAGGACUUGGAACUGGAUAACAUGUGGAAGUGUGGGAGAAAGCAGAUCAAAAGUGACCCUUCCAAGACAUUGUCCACACUGCCACAGUGUCAUAGCUAGAGCAGAGCUAUAUAUAUAUAUGUGAUGGCACUGUGGUUAAGAGCUAUGGUUGCUAACCAAAAGGUCAGCAGUUCAAAUCCACCAGCCACUCUUUGGAAACCAUAUGGGGCAGGUCUACCCUGUCCUAUAGGGUCACUAUGAGUUGGAAUUGAAUUGUUGCCAAUGGCUUUUUAAAAAAUUUAUCUAUAUGUAAUUUAUUUUCUAUUUUGUUGUUGAGAAUAUACACAGCAGAAAUACACCAAUUCAACAGUUCCUAUUCAGUGACAUUAAUUACACUCUUUAAGUUGUACAACCAUUCUCACCUUCCUUUUCUGAGUCGUUCUACUCCCAUUAACAUAAACUCACUGCCUCCUAAGUUUUCCGUCAAAUCUUUCAAGUUGCUGUUGUCAAUUCGAUCCCAUAUUGAUAGAUCUUGAAAGAGCAGAAUGCUCAAGGCAGACAUUGUUUACUGGUUAAGCUAAACUAUUGUUUGGUUUUAAGAAAACCUCAGGUACUAUUUUUGGUUUAAGGUUUAAAGAUUAUCUCAGGGCAGUAGUUUCAGGGGCUCAUCCGGGGGCUCCAGAAAUGCUGGAUUCAAUGAGAAUUUGAAAUUGUGUUCUAUGUUUUCCCCGUUUUGAUCAGUAUUCUUUUAAAGAAUCUUUGAUCAAAAUGUUCAGUAAUGAUAGCCGGACAGUACUCUGUUCUUCUGAUCUUAAGCAAAAGAAGCAGGUGUUCAUGGAGGCAGUUAGCCACACAUUCCAUUUUCGCAGAGGAAAGUUUUUUUGUAAGGCCCUUUCCUGGCUCCCCAUGUCACUCAGGAUAGAUCACAGCUGCCAUUUAUUGAGCUCACACUUAGAGCCAGAGACUCUGGGAAGUGCUUUUUAAGCAUCAUCGCAUUUACUCUUCAGGGCAAUACUGUGAGGUAGGAACUGUUUUUGUUUUACAGAUGAGAACACUGAGCCUGCUUGGCACACGGGUUGUUAAGUUGCAGAGCUGGGAUUUGAAUUUCGAUCUGAUUCUAGAACCUCCACUUUCCACCUUAGUAGCAUCUCUCCUACCUCUGCCUUGACAGUUAAGUCCCCCCUGUAGUGUCAGCCCCAUGCCUUCCUAGCACAUUCCUGAAAUGCUGGUCAACCUGUAUGACUUGCUGGUGGAGGCUGAUGAAAGGUGAACACAAGUUUUUUUGCUAUUCCUCCCCUUGAAUCUGGGCUGGCCUUAGUGACUUGCUUGACUAAUAGAACAUUGUAGAAGUGACAGUCCCGGACUUCUGAGCCUAGGUCAUAAGAAGCCUUGCAGUUUGCAUGGGUGUCUGUCCCUCAGAACAUUCUCUGGGAGCUGUGAGCCACUAUGGAAGAAGUCUACCUUGAGACCACCAUGCUGGAGGAGUCCUGUGGCACAGUGGUUAAGAGCUCUGCUGCUUACCAAGAGGUCGGCAGUUCAAAUCCACCACCUGCUCCUUGGAAACCCUAUGGGGCAGUCCUCCUCUGUCCUAUAGGGUCGCUAGGAGUCGGAAUCACUCUACAGCAAUGGGUUCAGUUUUGGGUUUACCAUGCUGGACAGCUGAGACCACCAUGCUAGAAAGUCCACAUGAAGUCUCUCUGGUUAGAGAGUCCAGCUGAGCCUAGUCUUUUGGCCGUCCCCACAAAGACACUAAACAUGUGACUGAAGCCAUCUUGGGCCCUCUAGACCAGACCAGCUGGCAGCCAAAUACCACGGUCAAUGUCAUAUGGAACAGAGGAAUUACUCGGCUGAGGCCAGCCCAAAUUCCUGACCCACAAAAUUGGGAUGCAUAAUAAAAAGGUUGUUAUUUUAGGCCACUAUAUUUUGGGGUAGAUUGUUAAGCAGCAGUAGAUCAUAGGAAGCCUAACUCCCACCUCCCCACCCCCUCCAGCCUCUGCACCUUAGUUUAUUCCAUCCUGUUACCCAGAAAAGCCUCUUAUCAGAUCCUGGGCUAUCAAACCCACCAGCCGCUCCAUGGGAGAAAGAUGUAGCAGUCUGCUUCUGUAAAGAUUACAGCCUUGAAAACCCUAUGGGGCAGCUCUACUCUGUCGUAUAGGGUCACUAUGAGUUGGAAUCGACCCGACAGCAGUGGGUUUAUUGGUUUUGGGGAUAUUAAAACCUAUUUUCCAGGCAGGCCAUAUACAAAGGAAAAUAACCAGGCUGGGCCCAGAUGCAAGUCUUCUGUUUGCCCGUCCAGAGGCAAUCCCACUUCUGCUCCUGCUUGGUGCCAGGCAGACUGACUUCUAUGGAUAACAUCAGUGGGCCCUGUUGUCCUCUGGCUUCUGGUUGGGUUUGGUCCAUUAGUGGCACUGGCAGGAGAUCAGAGGGCAGGAGGAGAGAGACGUUGGUUGUUUAUUCCCUUGACUCCCUCUUGGCACAGUCGCAGGGUGGACUGUGUUUCUACCCAGGCCAUAGUUACCAGCGCGUGGUCCUCUCCAUACCAGCCCCUCUCCAGCUUCUGUCAUCUAUCCUGCCUCUUCCUCUUCAGGCCUAGAGAUGGCAAUAGCUCCUCUCAUUACUAGCCCCUGGGCACUGCACCACCCUGUGUUGCCUUCAUUAAACUCUGCUGUCUUGAAAAUGAUACUGGUGAGGAGUGAGCUUCUUGGAUCAAGUAGGCACAUGAGACUAUGUGUGUAGUUCCUGUCUGGAAGGGAGAUGUGAAGGCUGAGGAGGACAGAAGUUGGCUGAAUGGACAUGGAAAUACAGGGUGGAGAGAAGGAGUGUGCUGUCUCAUUGUGGGGACAGCAACUAGGGGUAUAUAAAAAAGCAAGGUGUAUAUAAGGUUUUGUAUGAGAGACUUGACUUCAUUUGUAAACUUUCACUUAAAGCACAAUAAAAAUUUUUUCUAAUUAAAAAAAAAACUCUGCUGUCUUAGUUAGGGUUCCCCCAGAAGCAGAUCAAGAGUCAAGGAUUUGAGUACAAGUAGUUUAUUCCUUGGGGAGGGAGUGGGGGUUCAGUGGUAGAAUUCUCAUCUUUCCUGAGGGAGACAAGGGUUUGAUUCCUAGCCAAUGCACCUCGUACUCAGCCACCACCCAUCUGUCAGUGGAGACUUGCUGUGGCUAUGAUGCUGAACAGGUUUCAGUGGAGCCCCCAGACUAAGAUGGCCUAGGAAGAAAGGCCUGGUGACCUACUUCUAAAAACCAGCCAGUGAAACCCUAUGGACGCAAUGGUCUGAUCUGCAACCAAUCAUGGGGGUAGCAGAGGACUGGGCAGCAUUUCAUUCUGUUGUGCGUGGGGUUGCCAUCAGUUGGGGGCCAACUUGACAGAAGCUAAAAAUGACAGCAGCUUAUUCAGGAAGAGAUCCUGGGAAACACAGGAAGGGGAAUGGAGACUGGAGGCAGAGGAAUGAAGGAAGCCAAUGGGUGGGUUACCACAUUGGGCACCUGAAGCUCAGUCCCCCUGGGGAAUUCUGGGUAGUGAUGUAGAAUAUGUCUCAAGUUAACUCACCUGAGGGCUGAGGAAGCUGGGGGAUGUGUCCGCCAAUCUACCACUGGCUGCUUCCAGGACAUUAACUUCCUGGCACUCUUAGUUUAUUCAACACACUGACUGAGCUUGUCCCCAUGGCUAGGGGGGAAAAAAAACCCAGCAGAGAGAGAAUGUCACAAGAACUAGCAGUAAGUAGCUGUUGCCACAUAGAGGUGAUGCUCAAAGGGUCUGGGAAGGUCACUGACCACUCUACCUGCCCACACCUUUGUAAAUAAGUCCUUUUGAAAACUCUCCUCAGUUACUCAGUUUUAGUGUGCCACUUGCUUCCUGCCAAGGCCCUGGGUGAUACAAGCUGGUCUUGAACUUCUCCACAACAAUGCUGGAGUCUAGACCACAGUGGGCUAGUGUCUACUGGGAGUUGGAGGUGGGAUGGAGAAGGGUACAUCCUCAAAAUGCAUUGUCCACUUUCUUAGUCAUCUAGUGCUGCUGUAACAGAAAUACCACAAGUGGAUGGCUUUAACAAACAGAAGUUUAUUCUCUCAUAGUUUAGGAGGCUAGAAGUCCAAAUUCAGGGCGCCAGCUCCAGGGGAAGGCUUUCUGUCUCUGGUGGACACUGGGAGGAAGGUCCUUGUCAUCAGUUUUCCCAUGGCCUAGGAGCUUCUCUGCACAGGGACCCCGGGUCCAGAGGACAUGCCCUUACUCCUGGCACUGCUUUCUUGGUGGUAGGAGGUCCCCAUGUUUAUCUGCUGGCUUCUCUCUUUUAUAUUUCAAAAGAGAUUGAUUUAAAACCCAACCUAAUCCUAUAGAUUGAGUCCUGCCUCAUUAACAUAACUACCGCUAAUCCCACCUCAUUAACAUCAUAGAGGAAGGAUUUACAGCACAUAGGAAAAUCACAUCAGAUGACAAAAUGGUGGACAAUCACACAAUACUGGGAAUCAUGGCCCAGCCAAGUUGGUACACAUUUUUGGGGGACACAAUUCAAACCAUAACAUCACAGCACAUCACUUGUGUGCAGACGACAGAGAUACAGUCUCAGACAUGUGGGAAUUCCAGCUCUGUAGUAACCUUCCUGAAAUAUCUAGUUCAAGACAUAAUCCAGACAACGAAAAAAGGAGUCGAAACAGAGAAGGAAUGGGGAUAUUGCAGUCUGCAAAAUGACUUAUAAAAAAAUUCCAGUUAAAAUAUAGCAUUGGUAACUUAGUGCUACAUUAAAGAAUGUAAUUGUUCAAAGUUGUGAAGGGGAAGACUACAAAAUGGGGAAAAAAUCCGACUUCCAAGGCAGAUGUUAGAGUGAGCUAGCUCUUGUAACACAUAGAAUGUCACAAAUACCUGACAAAUAGACUCGAAAUAUGGUUCUUGCACACGUAGCGAUUUGGGGUGGGCUACCCUCCUCCACACAGUCCUGGCACUCAGUCUGUGGCAAGCUCUGCCACCCAUAACGUGUAAGUCUCAGUGUUGCCUAAGGUCACCCGGGCCACCAUCUUUAUUUCAGCCAGUUGGAAGAGAAAGAGUAUGAAGAAAUAUUUGGGUCCAGGCUCGGAAGUGGCACACAUUAUUUCGGCCCACAUCCCAGCUCUGUCACGUGGCCACACCAAAUUGCAGGGGUAACUGGGAAAUGUAGUCCAGCCAUGUGCCCAGGAAGAAGAGGAGAGCAUGGACUGGGAGUCUUCCUCUGAAACUUAGAGCAAAGGGUUCAGACAUUGAGAGUUGCAAACUCAAGUGCUGACAGGGCAGGUGUGGAACGCAGACGGCCUGGAGUCACAGGUCCACCACUUACAGCAUUGUGACUUUGGUCUUUCCAGAGAAUGACCUUCCUGUCUCCUGCCAUGGUGAGGAAGUGGUCACGUCCUGACUGUGCCAGCUGGAGUAACAGACCUAGAAGUCCAACUGUCCGCAAAUUGAUAAUCCACCAGCCCUUCUGUUUUCAGUCCUACCCUAUAUCUGGGUCUUCGGAGGCUCCUGGACACUUGCUGAGGGUCUACAGGUUGCCUUGUUUCCUGAUGGCUCCCCUUGAGAACAGUCAGGUUCAGCUUCUCAGGUUUACUUCUCAGUCCCCCUCACCAUCUUCUUUCCAACUUGUGGAAUUUGGUUGAACUCUGUCCUCUACUAUUGCCUCUUCAUGUGUUCUCUUUGUCCCAGUGAGUAGGUUCAGGGGUGGAUUACCCAGUAAGCAAGGUAAGCACAGGCUUACUUGUACUUACUAAUUUCACAUGGGUUUCAUCUUGCCUUGUCUGUUGGAUAAUCUGUCCCUGAGCCAGGGGCACUUUUCUGUCCUGCCUGCCCAGCCCCAUUCCUGCUUCUCAAGGCAGGGGCUUUGCCUCACUCGUCUGUGUGCCUAGACAGGACUGGGCAGGUCUCUAGUAUGUGGACCAGGCCCCUGGACAGUGGCAUGGCUCGUUCCUGAGAAGUCAGAUUUGGGCUUUAUGGAGUGAACACUCCAAGAUGGAGGUGGGAGCCAGUCCUUUCUAAAUUGGAACAUCAGAGUAAAUCUCCCCCCAAAGUAUAUUCCUGCUGUAUUUAUAACGGAGUUCAAAGUCAAUGCUCAAGAAGAAGUCCCGGUAGAGCCACACUUGUCCUUGCAAACAUCUUAGGAAGGUGCGAGUUGCCAACAGACACCAUCUUUCAGUAAAUCCAUCACAGCCAACGUUCCUUGGAGUCUCCUCUCUGAGUCUUGGUCAAGUGCCUGUUGGAGACACUGGUUUGGAUGGAGAAGCUGAGUUGUAGGAACAACGUGCACCUUCAGAUCCGAGUAUCCCCUUCUGUGGUUCAUAACGCUCAUAGGAGAAAGAGGCACGUGGUCCCCAAGAACCAAGGUGGCCGGCUAUCCCAAUUUGCAGGACUUUCAGUGCUGAGACUAGGAUAGUCCUGACUCUAAAGCAUAGAUGAGAAGUGUAGGUGUGCUGUGCAAUAUAUUGCUUUUGUGUGGCCUUUCUCACCAAGGUCUUGUAACUCCCACCCAAGUGAUUGGGUCGGUCUGUGCAAAUAAGGUAAUUGUGGCCCACCAAGGAGAUUGAUCAGUUUUGCCAUCCCACUAGGCUUAAAAUGAGCCAUCCCAGAAAUGGGAAGGGAGGAUCUUCUACCACCAAGAAAGAAGAGCCAGGAGUUGAGUGUGUCUUUGGAACCCGGGAUCCCUGAGCUAAGAAGCUCCUGGAACCAGGAGACCGAGAGAGAGAGCUGUAACAGAGAAGACCAUGAGCAGUGGCAAAGAAACAGCGGCAGCAGAACCAGCAGACCUGCAGGAGACGGCCCAGCUCACAAAGCGAGAAAGCUGAGCAUCUUCAGGCAGAGGCUUACUGGCAGAGUGGCGUGCCAUGGGGCACUUAUUAGCUGAGCUAAAAGAGCUUUGUAACACUUGCCUGAGCGGGACAGAGGCCAAGGGGCCAGGGCAAGGGGUGUCUGCAGGUACAGCUGGGAAGAGACUGUCCUGAUGGAAGAACUGUAUCCUGAGCACUCCUGAACCUGGAUUGUAACCUGUUCCUUCCCUAAUAAACCUCAUAAUUGUGAGUAUUGCCUGUGAGUUCUGUGAGACCAUUACAGUGAAUUAUUGAACUCAGUGGAGAAGUAGGGAAUGCCAUGGGAGGGGAGGUUGGUGUCAGAAUUGGUAAAGAUGAUGGAGAGAGGAGGCAUGUCUGAUCUUUGCUUCACAGGAAUCAGCCUUUGGCUGAAUCUGAUGGUGAUUCUCUCUCCCCCUUCUGAAGUUAGCGGAGGUCAGACGCUGUUCCCACGCCAUUUUGUACAAGGGGAUAGUGAGCAUAAGUCAACGGUGGUGAAAAAAUAUGGGUAGAGAUAGUGAGAACCUUGACACAAUGUGAAGAAUGUAACCAAUGUUAUUGAAUUGUACAUGUAGAAAUUGAUGAGUGGGUGCAUGUUCUCUGUGUAUAUCUUCACCAAAAUUAAAAUUAAAAGUCCUGGAUAGUCCUGGGGAAACAGGACUGGUCGGUCACCUGUAAUGGCAGGUUUGCUCCUCACCCACCCUCCUGGGCAUGCACUCAUGGCACACACAGCUUAAAUGCUGAUUCCCAGGUGUUUACCACCCCUACUCCCACCUGUCUAGCACCUCUAAACAAGGCAGAUGGCGGAGGCAUUAAGGGUGUGAGCUCCAUCAAGAGACAGAAAGGGCCACAUAAACCAGAGACUCCAUCAGCCUGAGACUGGAAGAACUAGAUGGUGCCCUGCUACCACCAGUGACCGCCCUGAUAGGGAAUACAACAAGAGUCCCUGAUGAAGCAGGAGAAAAGUGGGAUUCUAGUAAAAAGACCAGACUUAAUGGUCUGGCUGAGACUGGAGUGACCCCAGAAGACACGGCCUGCAGACUCUCUGUUAGCCCAAAACUAAAACCAUUCCUUAAGCCAACUCUUCAGACAAAGAUUAGACUGGACUAUAAGACAUAAAAUGAUACUGGUGAGCAGUGUGCUUCUUAGCUCAAGUAGACACAUGAGACUAUGUGGGCAGCUCCUGUCCCGAGGUGAGAUGAGAAGGCAGGGGGGACAGGAACUGGUUGGAUGGACAUGGGAAAUACAGGGUAGAGAGGAGGAGUGUGCUGUUACAUUGUAGGGAGAGCAACUAGGGUCACAGAACAAUGUGUGUACAAGAUUUUAUAUGAGAAACUGACUUGAAUCUUAAACUUUCACUUAAAGCACAACACAAGAAAAAAAGAGUGUGGGCUUUGAAACCAGGGUACCUGGAACAAGUUGGGCCCAAACCCCAGCUCUAACACUCACCAGCCAUGUGUCUCUGGGCAAGUCACUUCACCUCUCUCUGCCUCAGUUUCUUCAUUUAUAAAAUGGAAAGAAGGAGAUGGUGUACUCCGUAGAAUUGUUGUAAGAAUCAAGUGAAUUAAUAGCUGUAAAGUACUUAGAAUAGUGUCUGUCAUGGAACAAGUUAUACGGGCCACAAUCCCUUAUCUGAAACCCUAUCCCCAAUGUGCUUUGGGAUUUGGGGGAGUUUGGGGAUUUUGGAAAGCACGCACCGUAUGUUAUAUAUAUAUAAAACGUACCAGUGGUAAAAAAGAAAAAAAAAAUUUUUUUUUUUUGGUCUGGGUUAAUAGCCCAUAAUUAAACAUACUAAUAUUUCUACAGACAAAAAGGUGUGUGAAUAUCCAUACAUCUGUUUGGGUUAGGGUUUUGCCACUAAAUGAAGUGUGGUACUAAAAUUCAUUUUUUCUAGACUUCUUGGCUCUCAGAAUUGCAGGUAAGGGAUUGUAAACUUGUGUAAGUGUUUGCUUUUGUUAUCGUCUCAUGAAUGCCAGGUGUAGGUGACACAUAAUCGCUUCUUGAAGACAAUUCAGAGUUUUUGUGCCUAAGGGCCACUUGGACUCUUGGAGUUUUCCACUUGGGCCCUUUUGCACCAACAGCUCUGAACCACCCUGGAGGGCUGGAGGAAAGACUCUUCUUUUUUUAUCCAGGCCCACCAUUUAGUGUUUUCUUCAGGUUCUUUCCAAUGCGGUGGGGGGAGUAGGGAGGACUGGGGUGAGUUGCAAAUUCAACUCUCCAAGAGCCUUUCCCAGUGCGAGGCUAGGGAUUGAGGUUUCCACCAGUGUGGGAGGCGGUAAGCUCUGCGGAAGUGAUGAGCAAGCCGAGUUUCUGGCAAAGCUGCUGGGGGUCCGGGCCAUGGUCUGGUCUGGGCAGCUGAGAUACUAGAGCCAAAGAAGCAUCCGCGGCCCCUCGGCAGCCCCUGGGGGUCCACAAAGGAACAUCUCCAUGGCAGAUGCUUCGGCACUUGCAGAAAAGAGGACUCAGAAGGGAAUUCUGAGAGCUUAUUCAGUUGGGGUGUGUGUUUGCUCUGAGCACUCCAGGAAAUGCCUGCUUCAGUAGGUGCUCAUGGGAUUUGGGGAUUAUGGUGGCUAUAAAGGGGGAAGGAGAACCCCGUCCCCCGACUGCCUGCAGCAUAGCCCUGUGAGAGGCCUCACGUGGAACCCACCUCCCCACAGUUCACGGAGCCCACUUCCAGCCCUCCCCAACCCAGGAAUUACUGGCCUAGCUGCCUCAACAUAGGAUUAUUUUGCAAAUACAUUUCUUUUGAGAUUUGACUAUUUGAGUUAAAAAAUGGUUCUUGAUUCUCGUCAGUGAAAUUUUAGCAGUUAAAGACAUAGGCCCUAUAAGUUGUACACCUGUAAAACGUUGAAUUGGCAAAAGUUGUGUGAUAGAUGUACUUACAAAAAAGAAAAAAAAAGAGUAGCUGCUGAGGGUGCUUAUGUACAACCAAACACCUCAUGGGAUUAGGUUCCUUUGGAGAUUUAGGGUCAUGGUUUCAUGGGACAUCCCAGUUAACUGGCCUAAUAAUGUGUUUAGUGCUUCUGUUCUACCUCCUAGUUAGUUGCAUAGUGCCUGGGGUCUUAAAAGCUUGCAAGCAGCUAUCCAAGGCAUAAUUGGUCUCUAUUCACCUGGGGCAACAGAGGAAGAAGGAGAGUCAGGAAUAGGAAGAAGAAAUGAAAUGUGUGUCUAAUUGCUUCCAUGAACUGCCCCAUUUGCCAUGAGACCAGUAGAACUAUAUGGUGCCUGGCUACCAUUACUGAACAUUUUGUUCAAAGAUUCUAUAUAAGAAUUCUGAUCAAAAAGAGGGAAAAGCAGAACAGAAUUUCAAAUUCUCAUGGAAUCCAGACUUUCUGGAGCCAUGGAGACUGGAUGAACCCCUGAAACUAUUGCCCUGAGAUAAUACAAAUAUCUUCCUGAAGUCUUCUUAAAACCAAACAAUAGCUUAGUUUAACUAGUGAAGAAUGUCUGCCUUGAGCAUUGUGCUCUUUUAAGAACUAUCUCUAUGGGAUCAAAGUGACAACAGCAACUCAAAGAAGUAGAUAGGAACAGUAGAGGGCAGUGAGUUUAUGUUAAUGGGGGAGGAACAACUCAGAAAGAGGGUGAGAAUGGUUGCACAACUCAAAGAAUGUAAUCAAUGUCAUUAAUUGGACAUGUAGAAACUGUCGAACUGAUGUAUGUUUUGCUGUGUAUAUUCUCAACAACAACAACAACAAAACAAAUAAAAUUAAAAAAAAAAAAAGAAGACGACGACGACAUGGGCCCUCUCUCAGGAGGUGGGGAGAGAAGAUGCAUUGGCAGUCAGCAAGUCUCACCCCUUGGGGUUGUUGUUGGUGCUGUGGAGUCAAUUAUAGCAGCCCCAUGUGACAGAGUAGAAUGGCCCCAUGGGGUUUUCUUGACUGUGAUCUUUACUGGAGCAGAUCAUCGGGUCUUUCUCCUGUGGAGCUGCUGGUGGGCUCGCUGCCAACAUUUCACUUAGCAGCCGAGCGCUUUACAUUGCACCACCAGGGCUCCCUUAUUUGGUCUUGUGGGCAUUCCCAAACCUUAUCUAAACUGUAGGCUCCUAGAGAAGCCAUGAUUUCACACCUCCUCUUUUAACUCCCUCCACCAUCUGGGGAAGGAACCCUGGGGGCACAAUUGUUAAGUGCUGGGCUGCUAACUGAAAAGUGGGUGCUUUGAACCCACCAGCUGCUCCACGAGAGAAAAGACCUGGCGAUCUGCUCUUGUAAAUAUUACAGCCUAGGAAACCUUAUGAGGCAGUUCUACUCUGGCCUAUAGGGUCGUUAUGAGUUGGAAUAAACUUGACAGCAAUGGGAAUAGGUUUCAGAAUUUUUAAAAGAUAUAGUAUGUAUUAAACAGAACCUGUUUGUGGGAUAUUUGACCCACAUGCUACCAGUGUGUGGCUGCUGGGUUAUAAUACGGUCUCAUCUUACCCAAAGGAGCUAUGACUCCACAGGGACAGGCCAGUGAUUGGUGAGGUGACUAUUUAUUUCAUUUAUUCUCACAUUCACACAGUCAUUCAGCAAAUGUCUAAUGAACUCCUACUCCGUACCCCCUGUGCCAGGCCCUGUGAUAAAUACUGUAGACACAAAAUUAACAAGACACCAUCCCUCCCUUGAAGGACUCACAGGUGUCUUUAUCACUGGAUAGAAAACAGUGUUAGAUUUAAAAAUAUAUAAGUUUUAGAGUUAAUUGCUGUAGUGUUAUAUUUUAAGAUAGGAAAAUUUCUUAACUCAAAAGAAUGACUUCCUAUGGGGGAAACUCUAGUCAGAAGGAAUAACAGAGUAGUGGACAGAGUCAGAAGCCCUGGUUGGAAUAUUCUUUCCAAGCUUUUCUACUCAGUAUGUGGGUGGCCUCAGGUAAGUGGCUUGUCCUGGCUGAGCCUCAGUCUCCACCUCUGUGAGAUGGGAUAAUGGUACCUAUCUUCUAAGGCUAUUGGGAAACAGGAGGGAGAAACAUGCAGGAAAGCCUAGCACAGUACCUGGUACACAGUAGAUGCACAGCAAACUUGCCCACCAACUGCCAAUGUAGUGAGCUGGGAUGGGGAGGCAGGGGAAGAUUACUAUGGGACAAAAAGUGUCUCAGCAUCUCUCUUAAUUCCCAACUAGCAUUCAGUGAUGUGACCUAGGGUGCUGAGGUCAUGGCGAUGAGAAAGUUCUGUGCCUGCCUCAAGGAAUCGCAGUCCAGGGGCAGCUAUCUUCUCACCCCCCUGGGUGUGAGGCUAUCUCUCUUCUCUCAAAGCAAGAGGAGAGUGGGAAGGAAUGCAUACACAUUCCAGUUACAGUGACAAACAGGUCCAUCUUGGUUGAUAUCAGCGAAGGAUAGAAGAACCAAUGGUAGAAGACUUGGAGUGACCCCAAGCACUGGGGCAGGGAGUGGGCGUGUUGAGACAGGCUCAGGCCUUGGAGAGGAGGAGAAGGCUUCAUUUUAGGCCCCUGUUCCCAAAGAUAAAGCUACCACUUGUGUGUGGUGUCCCUGGGGCUAGAGCACUUCUUCUUAUGUAACACUGUCUAGAAUAUUCUAACUCUGGGGGGUAGGAGGGCCAUGGUGAUGCAAACGAUUUGUGCUCUACUUACUAACCUAAAGUUGGUUGUUCAAAGCCAUCCAGUGGCACCAGGAAAGAGAGGCCUGGUGAUCUGCCUCCAUAAAGUUUACAGUCAAGAAAACACUAUAGGGCUCAGUUCUACUCUAUAACACAUGGGGUUGCCAUAAGUCAGGAUUGACUUGACAGCAACAGAUUUGUAGAGGUAGGUACCAUCAUUAGACCCACUUUACAGAUAAGGAAACUGAGGCCCAGAGAGGUGAUGCCAACUUGCCCAAGGCCGUGUGGCUGGCAAGGCAUGGCCUGGAGAUUCAAACCCAGGCCACAUUCUUUUCCACACCCGACAGCAUUGUCUGUGGAGGGAGGCUUCUACUGCAGGGCUCAGAAGACCUCAUUCCGGGGCCCCUGGUCCAGGAGGGAAGAAGGAAAACAGGCCAGCUAGGGCUCUGAAGGGCUCUGGCAAGAAAUGAAGUGUAUCUGUCUCAGGUCUGCAGCCCACCUAGGGAUAUGGGGCCCAUUCAUUCACUCAUUCAUUCAUGCAUGCAUUCAUGAAUUCAUUCAUGCAUUUAGUGCAGGUGGAUUCCCAACUUCACCAGUUACUGUCCGGGUGACCCUGGCAGUUCACUUUAGGGUUCUGAGCCUAAAUUUCUACUGUGGUCCAGGUACUACUCCAACUAUGUGAGGGUACAGAGUGAACUAGUCAGACACUGCUACCAGCCUCAUGGGCAGGUAGUUGGGGAGCUGACCUGGUCUGGAGGCUUUCUGGAAGAAACAAUGCUUGAGUGGAGGUGGACAGGGUGAGAAGUUGUUAACCAGGUUCUCAGGGGUGACCAGGUAGCGAUUUCCUUCUGGGAAGAGGCAGAAGUGGAUUUACCAGACUUGCUGUGAAGCUUAAGCUUCAGGGCUCCUCAUUUGCCAGCCACCUUCCAGUGACCUGGGAGGGCCCUCACGGUACACACCCAGGGUCACAUACUUCUGUCAAGUUUGCAAAAAUAAGACAUUUCAACUGCAAGUGGUGAAGAAUGUUGCCUCUGCCCACUCUGACUUCCUCUCUGUCAUACUUCCUCUCAUUUUGGGUGUUGCUGGGUGGUUGUGGGCAUUUUGGGGGAUAUUUUUCCACUAGCUAAGGGGAAAUUGUCGUGGACUACUGACGUUGAUGAAAAUAACAUAAAGCUGAAAAUACACCAUUGCAAAGAGGAUGUUGACAGCAAACUGAUUAAUUUGUUGUUGUUAGUUGCCAUCGAGUCAGCUCUGACUCAUGGUGACUUAUGUAUAGCAGAAUGAAACUGAUUAAUAAAAAACAACAAACUACUAUUCAAAUUACUUCAGAGCAUAGAAAAGGAAGGAAUACUCCCAAAUUCAUUCUAUGAAGCCAGCAUAACCCUGAUACCAAAGCCAAGACACCACACACACAAAAAAGAAAACCACAGAUCAAUAUCUUUCAUGAAUAUAGAUGCAAAAAUUCCCAACAAAAUUCUAGCCAAUAGAAUUCAGCAUCAUAUCAAAAUAAUAGUAAUAAUACACCAUGACUAAGUGAGAUUCAUACCAGGCAUGCAAGGAUGGCUCAACAUCAGGGAAUCAAUCAAUGUAAUCCAUCACAUAAAUAGAACAAAAGAAAAGAAUUACAUGGUUAUCUCAAUCGAUACAGAAAAGGCAUGUGAUAAAGUUCAACACCUACUCCUGAUAAAAACUCUCAGCGAGACAGGAAUAGAAGGGAAACUCCUCAGCAUGAUAAAGGGUGUCUACACAAAACCAUGGAAACCCUGGUGGUUAGUGGUUAAGAGCUAUGGCUGCUAACCAAAAGGUCAGCAAUUCAAAUCCACCAGGCACUCCUUGGAAACUGUAUGGGGCAGUUCUACUCUGUCCUAUUGGGUCACUACAAGUGGGAAUCAACUCGACAGCACCUCACAACAACAAUACAAACCCAACAGCCAACAUCAUUCUUAACAGAGAGAGUUGAAAGCAUUCCGCCUGAGAACAUGAACAAGACCUAAUGUAAAGUCUAAAAUGAUAAAGAUCAUGGAAGAAAAAAUAGGGACAAAGCUAGAGGCCCUAAUGUUGCUGUUAGGUGCUGUCGAGUUGUUUCUGACUCAUUGCAAUCCUAUGCACAACAGAACGAAAGACUGCCCUAAUACAUGGCAUAAAUACAAUACAGUACAGUACAAAUAUAACUGAUAUAACUAUAAACAUAACUAACAAUGCACAAAGACACCAGACUAUAAACUAGAUAACUGUGAGCUCCUAAAAAUUAAAAACUUAUGCUCGUCAGGAGACUUCCCCGCAAGAGUGGAAAGAGAACCGACAGACUGGGGAAAAAAACCUUUGGUUAUGACAUAUUCAACAAGGUCUAAUCUCUAAAACCUAUAGAUACUUCAACACCUCAACAACAAAAGCACAAAUAAUCCAAUUAACAAAUGGGCAAAGGAUAUGAACAGACACUUCACCAAAGAAGACAUUCAGGCAGCUAACAGACACAUGAGGAAAUGCUUUCGAUCAUUAACCAUUACAGAAAUGCAAAUCAAAACUACAAUGAGAUAUCAUCUCACUCCAACAUUACUGGCACAAAUAAAAAAAGCAGAAAAUAACAAAGUUGCAGAGGUUGCAGUGAGAUUGGAACUCUUAGCACUGCUGGUGGGAAUGUAAAAUGGUACAACCACUAUGGAAAACUCUGUGGUGCCUCCUUAAAAAGCUAUAAAUAGAAAUACCGUAUGAUCCAACAAUCCCACUCCUAGGAAUACAUCCUAGAGAAAUAAGAGAUGUCACAUGAAUAGACAUAUGCACACCCAUGUUCAUUGCAGCAUUAUUCAAUAGCAAAAAGAUGGAAACAACCUAAGUGCCCAUCAACAGAUAAAUGUAUAAACAAAUCAUGGUCAUACACACAACAGAAUACUACUCAAUGAUAAAGAACAAUGAUGAAUCCAAGAAACAUCUCAUAAAAUGGAUGGAUCUGGAGGGUAUUACGCUGAGGGAAAUAAGUCAAUCACAAAUGGGCAAAUAGUGUAUGAGACCACUAUUAUUUUUUUAAAAAAAACAACCCCAAGAAAAGGUUUACACACAGAAAAAAAAAAAAUUUUUUUUAUAGUUACAAGGGAGGGAAAAUAAUUAGCUAGAUAGUAGACAAGUUAACUCUGGUGAAGGGAAAGACAACACACAAUAUAGGGGAAGGCAGCACAACUUGACCAAGACAGUCAUAAAAGCUUCCUAGACACAUCCAAACACCUUAAGGGAUCAAGCUACUGGGGCUGAGGGCUGGAGACUGUGGGCCUGGGGGAUAUCUAGGUCAAUUGGCAUAAUAUAGUUCAUAAAGAAAAUGUUCUACAUCCUACUUUGGUAGUAGGGCCUGGGGUCUUAAAAGCCUGCAAGCAGCCAUCUAAGAUACAGCUAUUGGUUUCAUCCCAUCUGGAGAAAGGAAGAAUGAAGAAAACCAAAGACACAAGGAAAAUACUAGUCCAAAGGACCAAUGGACCACAUGAACCACAGCCUCCACCAGGCUGAGACCAGAAGAACUAGAUGAUGCCUGGCUACCACCACCGACUGCUCUGUGAUGGAGGGUCCCCUACAGAGCAAGACAUUCAUUGUAAGGUAUGAACAAAUCUGUCUUGGAAGAAGUAUAGCCAGAAUGCUCCUUAGAGAUGAGUAUGGUGAGACUUUGUCUCACAUACUUCGUACAUGUCAUCAGAAAGUAUCAGUCUCUGGAGAAGGACACCAAAAGUAGAGGGUGAGUGAAAAAGAAGAAAACCCUCAAUGAGAUGGAUUGACACAGUGGCUGCAACAAUGGGCUCAAGCAUAACAACAAUCAUGAGGAUGGCACAGUACCACGCAGUGUUUCGUUCUGUUGUACACGGGGUCAUUAUGAGCUGAAACUGACAUAACAGUACCAAACAACAGCAACAGAAAAGGAGAAAAAUGUAGAACAAAAUUCAAAUUCUAAAAAAAAGACGAAACUUACUUGUCUGACAGAGAUUAGAGGAACCCCUGAGACUAUGGCCCCCAGACACCCUGCUAACUCAGAACCGAAGCCACUCCCAAAGUCCACCUUUCAGCCAAAGAUUAGACAAGCCUAUAAAACAAACAGUAAUGCACAGGAGAAACGCGCAACACCUGCCCAAAAGCAAAGAUGAGAAGGCAGGAAGGGACAGGAAAACUGGACGAAUGGACAUGGAGAACCCGGGGUGGAGAGGGAAAGGGGGAGAACGCUGACACAUUGCAGGGAUUGCAACCAAUGUGACAAAACAAUUUGUAUAUAAAUUUUUGAAUGGAAAACUAAUUUGUGCUGUAAAUUUUCAUCUAAAACAUAACAAAACUAAACAAAAACAAUGACAAACCAAACUCGUUGCUGUCGAGUCAAUUCAGACUCGUAACGACCCUAUGUAGGACAGAAUAGAAUGCCCUACAGGGUUGCCAAUACUGUAGAUCUGUACGGAAGCAGACUGCCAAGUCUUUCUCCUGUAGAGCAGCUAGUGGGUUUGAACCACAAACCUUUCUGUUAGCAGCUGAUCGCCUAACCACUCCACCACCAGGGGUCCCCUGGUUAACAACCCGUUGCUGUCCAGUUGAUUCCGACUCAUAGCGACCCUAUAGGAUGGAGUAGGAACUGCCCCAUAGGGUUUCCAGGGAGUGGGUGGUGGAUUUGAACUACUGACUUUUUGGUUAGCAGCCGUAGUUCUUAACGACUGCGCCACCAGGGCUCCCCAACUGGCUGAUACACCACCACACCAUGUUAAUUCAAAGAAUUUUUAGGAUUAGUAAUCACGAAGUCAGGAAAUGCUGUGAAAUCUUACAGUUCCUAUGUGAAAGAAACUUGGUAGAGAUUUUUCUAAAUUUGACAAUAAUCCUAAAAUUCUAUGACACUCACACCUUUGAAUUGUGGUGUUGGCGAAGAAUAUUUAAUAUACCACGGACUGCCAAAAGAAUGAACAAAUCUGUCUCGGAAGAAGUACAAUCAGAAUGCUCCUUAGAAGCAAGGAUGGCGAGACUGCGUCUUAUAUACUUUGGACAUGUUGUCAGGAGGAAUCAGUCACUGAAGAAGGAAUGGAAGGAAGGGCUGGGUACAUAGAGAGGACAGGGAAGAGGAGGAGGGAAGGGUGUCGCCCAUAAUCUUGACUUGACCUCUCACCGUCUGUGUGUCCAAAGAACAGAGGAAAUCUUGAGGCCAGGGCCAAAGAAAGCACCUGAUAAGUUACAUCCCUCAGCCUCUUACUGGUGCUGAAGUCCUCUCCCUGACAGCUGCCCACUGAGUCUUGGCUUUACAUACCUCAUGGGAUGGAGAGUUCACCUCCUACCCCAUAUUCUGUGCUAUCAUAUGUCAAAACUCUAGUUGCGGGAAGUUCUUCCAUCUAGCUGAUCACUAACUGUCUGUAGUUCCCCCUGGGUCCUGAUGUGCCCUAGGGGCUCCAUAAAUAGUUGACUUCUUUUUCCCAUCUCAUUAUAGCUCUGUAGAGACUUAAAGCAAGCUUAAGUUUUGUCCUUGCCCAACUUUUCUUCUUCAGGAGACACAAUUUUUUCUUCCUUCAGAGUCCUCUCAUGACUUGGCUCCCAAAGCCUUCCUCAUUUAUUACCUCUCAAAGAUUUCUCAACUACCCAUGGACAUAUUAUAAUAAUAAUAGCUAACAAGCAUUAAGUGUUUACUAUGUACUAGGCACUUUGCUAAGGAGCCUUGGUGGCAAAUGUUUAAGUGCCUUAAUGCUAACUGAAAGGUCGGAGGUUCAAACCCAUCAGUGGCUCCUCCAGAGAAAAGAACUGGCAAUCUUCUCCUGUAAAAAUUGCAGCCUAAGAAAUCCUAUGGGGCAGUUCUACCCUGUCCUAUAGGCCUCUUGCUGUCAGUUCUAAUCCAGCAGGAAGCUGGGCCCCCAGCUCUCAAUGCCAUUAUAAUAACAACCAUUCACAUCUGCUAUGCCCUGCAUGGUUCACUUCACCCUGGGCCUCAUGGGACCUCACAAGGGCUUACAAGGAAGGGGAAGGGAGGGAGUGGAGAGAAAGAGACUUGGCAGUUGAGCACCUUCAUUUUGCAGAUGAGUAGACCAGGGUCCAGAGAAGGGACAGUUUAAAUGUCUGCCUCCCCCACCAGACUCUGAACUCCUUGAGAUGAAGGACUGGGUCUUGACUUUUUAUUCAUUCA